CCUACGGGUGGCAGCAGUGGGGAAUAUUGCACAAUGGGGGCAACCCUGAUGCAGCAACGCCGCGUGAAGGAAGACGGUUUUCGGGUUUUUAACUUCUGUUCUUAGUGAAGAAUAAUGACGGUAGCUAAGGAGCAAGCCACGGCUAACUACGUGCCAGCAGCCGCGGUAAUACGUAGGUGCCAAGCGUUGUCCGGAAUUCCUGGGUGUAAAGGGAGCGCAGGCGGGUAGCCAAGUCAGCUGUGAAAGCUAGCGGCUUAACUUGUAGACUGCAGUUGAUACUGGUAUUCUUGAGUUAAGUAGAGGUUGGCGGAAUUCCGGGUGUAGCGGUGAAAUGCGUAGAUAUCCGGAGGAACACCGAUUGCGAAGGCAGCCAACUAAGCUGCCACUGACGCUGAGGCUCGAAAGUGUGGGUAGCAAACAGGAUUAGAUACCCGAGUAGUC
rnacentral:rRNA from 1 species